rnacentral:sRNA from 1 species
UUUUAUUUGCGUUAACGAUUGAAGCGGUAUCCUUUUUUUUAUUUUCAGAAAAAAAGAUUUAGCGGAAAGCGUGUUAUAAC